UUUCCCAGUUGACUGCCACGUUGUCUCCCAGUAGAUUAUGGUGGCUAUGCUUAUGGGACAGAUGAAAGGUGCCAUGAUCUGAAGGGGGAGGACUUCUCAGUGUCGUCCCCCUAUAUGAAAUGGCUGAACAGAAAACC